AUUGAUUUAUUUUAGUUAAAAUUUUUCUUUUGGGUAGAAAAGAAUUUUAUCAAUUU
rnacentral:tRNA from 1 species